rnacentral:rRNA from 1 species
UACGUAGGGUGCAAGCGUUGUCCGGAAUUAUUGGGCGUAAAGAGCUCGUAGGCGGUUCGUCACGUCGGCUGUGAAAUCCCCGAGGCUCAACCUCGGGUCUGCAGUCGAUACGGGCGGACUGGAGUACUGCAGGGGAGACUGGAAUUCCUGGUGUAGCGGUGGAAAUGCGCAGAUAUCAGGAGGAACACCGAGUGGAAGGCGGGUCUCUGGGCCAGCUAACUGACGCUGAGGAAGCGAAAAGCGUGGGGG